rnacentral:misc_RNA from 1 species
GUGAAUCAUCGAAUCUUUGAACGCAAAUUGCACUCUCUGCGGAGAGUAUGCGUGUUCGAGGGUCAGUAUUAUCAAAAAAAUCGGUUUGGUUGCAAAGUUUGUCGUUUCCGGAGUUUGGGCUAUCUUAACUUUUUUGGUUAAGGGGCUUAGAAUUGACCUUUUGUGCGCAUUUUUAGACGUACAUAAAUUUUGUCUUUAUUCGUCUAUUCUUAAUGCCAAAAUCUUAUUAGAUGCGAUCACAUCGUGUGGUGUCGUGUCCAUAAAAUUCUCAUGAUUUGACCUC